UACGGAGGGUGCAAGCGUUAUCCGGAUUCACUGGGUUUAAAGGGUGCGUAGGCGGCGCGGUAAGUCGGGUGUGAAAUCUCGGGGCUUAACUCCGAAACUGCAUUCGAUACUGCCGUGCUUGAGGACUGGAGAGGAGACUGGAAUUUACGGUGUAGCGGUGAAAUGCGUAGAUAUCGUAAGGAAGACCGGUGGCGAAGGCGGGUCUCUGGGCCGAUACUGACGCUGAGGAGCGAAAGCGUGGGGAGCGAACAGG
rnacentral:rRNA from 1 species